AUUUACAUGCCAAAGCCAAAUAACAGCUUGUUUAUGAGCACAGAUACAGUAAACGACUUGGGUCAGCACUUUCCAAGCUCAUUGUAGAGAGCUCUGGAACAUUCAGUGAUAGACGCAACAAAGGGAGGCACAAAACAAAGAGGGAAAGAUAACAGCAAAAAACUCCUGACAUUGUUACACUGGUUUCAACUCGCAAAACUGAUUUACACCAGAUAGCUUCUGUAUGGAAAUAUUGAAAGGCAUGUUACUUCUGUUUGUGAAGCACAAUGUACACAGGUAAAAUUACGCCUUUCUGUCCUGGGGCAUGAGAAAUGUUGUUAUGUAAAUUUGCGACAUUUAAGUCCUUAAUUAUCCAGAUCCCUUAAUAUUUUCUGAACAACUGAUGGAAAGAGUUCUCAGCCAUUGUAGCUGAACCGAAGGAUGGAAAGCACUCCUGCCUUCAUUAUGUUAUUAACAGUGGUCAAAGCACUUCUCAGACAUUUUGUGAUGGGAUACUUAAAAUUUCAAACACAUUACACCUGAGCUGCCUUAAACUGAGCCUCAUUAUCUCCUACUGUUUAACCCCACACAUUCAUGCAGUGUUUCCUUUAUCUGUCUUGGUUCUUGUUCAGGCUACUCUUCUGCCACCAAAAUCAUUGGGAGGGAAUUGCUGAAGCUUACAUAAUGAGACUCUGGUAGAAGCAAGCCCACAUGAUAACAUCCUUUCUAAUACCUUUAUUUUUUCACUUUUCUUAAGAUUUAUUUCUUUGCUUAUUGAAUAGACUUGAAAUCUCAGGAAAUCAGGAAGCCUGGGACCCGUUUCCCAAAGCUGUUUCUUGCCCUCAAGCAAAGCAUUAAAGAGACCUUCCUUGACCUUUCCCACUCAUCAUUGAUGGGAAAUACGUGAGGCUGAAAAGGGAAGUGAGCACGACAGCCCAGCACACUUCCGGAGAAGCCUGAGACCAGGGCAGGAAACAAAGAGCAACCCAGUGGUCUCUGCCUCCCCCGACCUACCAUCAUCUGCCCUUGGGAGACAGGAGAAAUCAAACGGUCCUAGAGAGAAAGACUGGAGUGGAAGAAAAUAUGUGGUAAAUUAUUGUUUUCCAGCUCAUCUGAAAUCCCUCCUCAACUUUAAAGGUUGCUUCCAUCAAAAAAGCCCACCUAAAAGUCAAAAGGAUGGAGGUAGCACAGAGAUAGCUGAAAGCAUGUUUUAAUCCAAGGGCUAUGGCACUCACACAGGGUCUACUAGAUCUGUAGGACAGUGCAGGGAUGCUGGGAAGUGUGUCAGAUGUAUGGCCUUCAUCAGCCAAUUACCUGUUCUUCUGUGGCCAUCACAUCCCCAUUAACCUAUAGAAGUAUCUGUUUCCUGCUCUGGUGAACACUGUUGAAUCUCCGGUCUUUGAAAGCUGAGAAUGUUUUUCUAAGCAAAGAAACAAAAAAUCCCUUUUUGUCUCAAUAAUGCUUUCAAAUAUGACAGCCCUUUCAGGUGGCAGCUCAGAAGAGAGACCUGGUGAUAACUGCAACUUCUCCUCUUCUUAAGCAGAGCCAUGUAAUGAAUUCAUAAUCAGGCCCAUGUGGUUGUUCUCUUUGAUACCAUCUUGCUCCAAGUAUUUGCUCUCAUUUUUAGCUUGCCUGAACUGCCCUCUCUGGAGGGAAGGACAACAAAUUAAGAUUUUUUUCUUCUAUAAAUGCAAGAUCAAAAAGCUCUUUCUUCUCUUCCCCUCUACUGGUGAAUCUGCAGCUCAGAGUCUCCGUGCAGGAUUGCCAGCUGAAUUUAUUCAAAGCUGUUGAUGGAGUGCACCUGUUUCCCACAGCCAAGUAGAAGCUGUUGAGCAAGGAGUAGUGAAUGCUCUUUCAUCUGAGUGCCGCUAUGGAUGGAGCUGCACGGAGUCCAGUUGAACCAGCAGACCUAAUUUCUAUCACAGUCCAAAUAUAAGGAGUCCAAAACAAAAAACAAUAACAGCAGCUGGAAUCAUCUUGAUGGGAAAGGGAAGGAGGGGACCACAAGGUCAGGGUCCUGGCAGCACUGACACUUGCAUUAGCUUCAUCCUCCUGAAUUCCACUGGGAGGAGCUUUGCAUUGCUGGAGGCAGGACAGAAAGCUCAACAGCCACCACUUAUUUCAGAUUUCCAGGAAGCGCAUGAGGAAGGAGACAGCUUAGGCAGACAGCCAGAAACACCCUUAGCACUUUGCAACCCCAAUUUCUGCCCCCAUGGAACAGUAGCCUGUAGUCCCAUAUGGUUUUCUACCAGAAUGUGUCCUGAGGGGAUGUUGUGGUGUUUGUUUUGUUUGCUGAUUGGAAAGGAAGGAGUAUUUUUUUCCCUUCAGAAAUAAAAUGAUGGCCUA
ensembl:lncRNA